UACGGGAGGGCAGCAGUGGGGAAUAUUGCACAAUGGGCGCAAGCCUGAUGCAGCCAUGCCGCGUGUAUGAAAAAGGCCUUCGGGUUGUAAAGUACUUUCAGUCGUGAGGAAGGUGUUAAGGUUAAUAACCUUAGCAAUUGACGUUAGCGACAGAAGAAGCACCGGCUAACUCCGUGCCAGCAGCCGCGGUAAUACGGAGGGUGCGAGCGUUAAUCGGAAUUACUGGGCGUAAAGGGCACGCAGGCGGUUAAUUAAGUUGGAUGUGAAAUCCCCGGGCUUAACCUGGGAAUGGCAUUCAAGACUGGUUAGCUAGAGUCUUGUAGAGGGGGUAGAAUUCCAUGUGUAGCGGUGAAAUGCGUAGAGAUGUGGAGGAAUACCGGUGGCGAAGGCGGCCCCUGGACAAAGGCUGACGCUCAUGUGCGAAAGCGUGGGGAGCGAAAC
rnacentral:rRNA from 1 species